CCUACGGGAGGCAGCAGUGGGGAAUAUUGGACAAUGGGCAAAAGCCUGAUCCAGCCAUGCCGCGUGUGUGAAGAAGGCCUUCGGGUUGUAAAGCACUUUCAGUGGGGAAGAAAGCCUUGGGGCUAAUACCCUCGAGGAAGGACAUCACCCACAGAAGAAGCACCGGCUAACUCCGUGCCAGCAGCCGCGGUAAUACGGAGGGUGCGAGCGUUAAUCGGAAUUACUGGGCGUAAAGCGCGCGUAGGCGGUCUGAUAAGCCGGUUGUGAAAGCCCCGGGCUCAACCUGGGAACGGCAUCCGGAACUGUCAGGCUAGAGUGCAGGAGAGGAAGGUAGAAUUCCUGGUGUAGCGGUGAAAUGCGUAGAGAUCGGGAGGAAUACCAGUGGCGAAGGCGGCCUUCUGGACUGACACUGACGCUGAGGUGCGAAAGCGUGGGUAGCAAACAGGAUUAGAUACCCCAGUAGUC
rnacentral:rRNA from 1 species